rnacentral:rRNA from 1 species
UGUGUAGGCGGCUCUCUAAGUUUGGUGUGAAAUCUCCCGGCUCAACCGGGAGGGUGCGCCGAAAACUGGGGGGCUAGAGUGCGGGAUGGGAGAGUAGAAUUCCUGGUGUAGCGGUGAAAUGCGUAGAUAUCAGGAGGAAUACCGGUGGUGUAGACGGCUCUCUGGACCGCAACUGACGCUGAAACACGAAAGCGUGGGUAGCAAACAGGAUUAGAUACCCUGGUAGUCCACGCCCUAAACGAUGCAUAUUUGGUGUAGGUCAUUCAGUUGAUCUGUGCCGGAGCUAACGCGUUAAAUAUGCCGCCUGGGGAGUACAGUCGCAAGGCUGAA